AAAAAAGGCGGUAGGCAUGAUUCUUAGGCAAAUCCGGGAAUCUUUAUGCCGAGCACCGAGACGAGUCCUUUGGGACGAAGUGACUGACACCACGCUUCCAGGAAAAGCCACUAAGCUUCAGCUGUAGAAAAACCGUACCGCAAACCGACACAGGUAGGCAGGGUGAGAAUCCCAAGGCGCUUGAGAGAACUCGGGUGAAGGAACUAGGCAAAAUGGCACCGUAACUUCGGGAGAAGGUGCGCCUCUUGGUGUGGUCACGUGCGUGACUGAGCAUCGAGGGGUCGCAGUAACCUGGCCGCUGCGACUGUUUAUCAAAAACACAGCACUCUGCAAACACGAAAGUGGACGUAUAGGGUGUGACGCCUGCCCGGUGCUGGAAGGUUAAUUGAUGGGGUCAGCCGCAAGGCGAAGCUCUUGAUCGAAGCCCCAGUAAACGGCGGCCGUAACAAUAACGGUCCUAAGGUAGCGAAAUUCCUUGUCGGGUAAGUUCCGACCUGCACGAAUGGCGUAACGACAGCGGCGCUGUCUCCACCCGAGACUCAGUGAAAUUGAAAUCGCUGUGAAGAUGCAGCGUUCCCGCGGCAAGACGGAAAGACCCCGUGAACCUUUACUAUAGCUUUACACUGAACGUUGAGUUCUUCUGUGUAGGAUAGGUGGGAGGCUAUGAAACCAGGACGCUAGUUCUGGUGGAGCCAUCCUUGAAAUACCACCCUGAAGUGCUUGACGUUCUAACCUAGGUCCGUAAUCCGGAUCGGGGACCGUGUAUGGUGGGUAGUUUGACUGGGGCGGUCUCCUCCCAAAGAGUAACGGAGGAGCACGAAGGUACGCUCAGCGCGGUCGGACAUCGCGCACUGUGUGCAAAGGCAUAAGCGUGCUUGACUGCGAGAUCGACGGAUCAAGCAGGUACGAAAGUAGGUCUUAGUGAUCCGGUGGUUCUGUAUGGAAGGGCCAUCGCUCAACGGAUAAAAGGUACUCCGGGGAUAACAGGCUGAUACCGCCCAAGAGUUCAUAUCGACGGCGGUGUUUGGCACCUCGAUGUCGGCUCAUCACAUCCUGGGGCUGUAGCCGGUCCCAAGGGUAUGGCUGUUCGCCAUUUAAAGUGGUACGCGAGCUGGGUUCAGAACGUCGUGAGACAGUUCGGUCCCUAUCUGUCGUGGGCGUUGGAGAUUUGAGGGGGGCUGCUCCUAGUACGAGAGGACCGGAGUGGACGUUCCGCUGGUGUUCGGGUUGUCAUGCCCAUGGCAUUGCCCGGUAGCUACGAACGGAAGUGAUAACCGCUGAAAGCAUCUAAGCGGGAAGCACGCCCCAAGAUGAGAUCUCCCGAGAGCUUGACUCUCCUAAAGGCACCAUCAAGACUAGGUGGUUGAUAGGCACGGUGUGGAAGUGCAGCAAUGCAUUGAGCUUACGUGUACUAAUGAGCCGUGAGGCUUGACCA
rnacentral:rRNA from 1 species